GUCUCGAAAUGGAAGACAGUCAGAGGAUCAGAGGCUGAAGUCUUCAGACAUUUGCAAGUUUUGGGGCUGGAUAAUGGAACCAAGCAACAUCGAAGCUACAUGUCAGUUUUAUUUGAAUAUCGAUGCAGCGUCUCAAUGAAAAAUGCAGAAUCGGUAUACAGAAUUUCCCAGGUGAUUGAUGACACUGUUUGUUGGCAGCUAAGGUGAUUAAAUAUCCCAUGAGAAAAUUGGAAGAAUAGAAGAGUAUUGAUGACAGUUCGCAAUGGGUUGGAUCAAUUAUAAUACCUUCUAGUUUCAUCAGUCCAGUGAAAAACCGUAUUGCUAUUGAC
rnacentral:misc_RNA from 1 species